rnacentral:rRNA from 1 species
CGCUGGCGGCGUGCCUAAUACAUGCAAGUCGAACGGUCUUUUCUAUGGAAGCUUGCUUCCACUGAGAAGAUAGUGGCGAACGGGUGAGUAACACGUGGGUAACCUGCCCAUAAGAGGGGGAUAACAUCCGGAAACGGGUGCUAAUACCGCAUAGUUUUCUUGAUCGCAUGAUUGAGAAAGGAAAGACGGCCUUUGUGCUGUCGCUUAUGGAUGGACCCGCGGCGUAUUAGUUAGUUGGUGAGGUAACGGCUCACCAAGACGAUGAUACGUAGCCGACCUGAGAGGGUGAUCGGCCACAUUGGGACUGAGACACGGCCCAAACUCCUACGGGAGGCAGCAGUAGGGAAUCUUCCGCAAUGGACGAAAGUCUGACGGAGCAACGCCGCGUGAGUGAAGAAAGGUUUUCGGAUCGUAAAACUCUGUUGUCAGAGAAGAACAAGUUGGAGAGUAACUGCUCCAGCCUUGACGGUAUCUGACCAGAAAGCCACGGCUAACUACGUGCCAGCCGCCGC